rnacentral:rRNA from 1 species
AGAGUUUGAUCAUGGCUCAGGAUGAACGCUAGCUACAGGCUUAACACAUGCAGGUCGAGGGGCAGCAUGAACUUAGCUUGCUAAGUUUGAUGGCGACCGGCGCACGGGUGAGUAACACGUAUCCAACCUGCCGAUGACUCGGGGAUAGCCUUUCGAAAGAAAGAUUAAUACCCGAUGGCAUAGUUCUUCCGCAUGGUAGAACUAUUAAAGAAUUUCGGUCAUCGAUGGGGAUGCGUUCCAUUAGGUUGUUGGCGGGGUAACGGCCCACCAAGCCUUCGAUGGAUAGGGGUUCUGAGAGGAAGGUCCCCCACAUUGGAACUGAGACACGGUCCAAACUCCUACGGGCAGCA